rnacentral:tRNA from 1 species
GCCGACAAAGCUCAACAGGAAGAGCACAUCUCUUGUAAAGAUGGGGGUUUCGGUUCGAAUCCGAAUGUCGGCUCCA